rnacentral:rRNA from 1 species
UUAAGUGAAUACAUAGCUUAAUGAAGGUAACCCAGGGAACUGAAACAUCUAAGUACCUGGAGGAAGAGAAAGAAAAAUCGAUUUUCUUAGUAGCGGCGAGCGAAAGGGAAAGAGCCCAAACCGGAAACUUGUUUCCGGGGUUGUGGACAUAGCAUCAAAGUGGAGGCUAUUGUAACUGAAGAGAACUGGAAAGUUCCACCGUAGAAGGUAAUAGUCCUGUAAGUGAAACGAGAAGACCACGAGUUAUGAUCCAGAGUACCACGAGACACGUGAAACCUUGUGGGAAGCAGGGAGGACCACCUCCCAAGGCUAAAUACUACCUGAUGACCGAUAGUGAAGCAGUACCGUGAGGGAAAGGUGAAAAGAACCCCGGGAGGGGAGUGAAAUA